rnacentral:rRNA from 1 species
AAGGUGCAAGUAACCAUUGACCCGCAGGUAUCCGAAUGGGGAAACCCGGCAGUAGGAGUACUGUCAUCCUUUCGAGGAAGGG